AGUCACUGCUCUGAAGAGUUUUCAAACCACUGAGGCAGGCAUAACUUCAGAGAAUGGAUACUGCAGCAGCAGAUUUUUUUUCUGAAGUGCAGCUGCUGAACCAUGACAUUCAGGAAUGAUUCUUUUUUAGAGAAGUCAAAAUUAUGUGCUCUUUGGGGCUGAACGUACCAAAGAAUUCAGUAACCUUUUAAACAUUUCAGCGAGUCACUGGGUUUGGAGUGUUCUGUGUAUUCAGUUUUUCCUAUCUGGUCAGCAGUUUAUUGCAGAAGUGUUAUGUAGGCUGCACUGGCAGGUUUGAAAAGAAGAGUAGCUGUAAUACAUCCUUUCUCCACACUUUCAGGUUUCUAAAACCAUCGGCUCAGUAGACUUGGCAUCUUGACUUCACCUGGGAACACUGCAGGAUCUCACUGUUUGACUUGCCUGUAUGCUUAACCCUGCAGAGACGUGCUUGUCAGAGAUCAGUAAAUCAUCAUCUCACCGUCCUCCAUCCCCAGUAUGGCAGAGUGGAAGGAAGGAGAGCACCAGGAUUUGGAGGAAUGGCUCUCAUAAUAGAAAGAGGCUCCUGCUUAGAAAGGAUCAGAACUCAAGAGAAGUCUGGAUGACCUUACAGAUCCAUUAGGGUACUGUCCUAGGGAAGAAAUGGGUCUCAUGCUGUGCUCUGAAAGCUGCAAACAGGAAAUUUAUUGUGCUGAUGCCACUAUUGAGUGCCAAAAAUAGCUAUGGACACUUGAAUUGCAUCUCUUUAACCCUUCUGCGGUCUGCGCACAGAAUUUUGUUUAUUUCUUGUGUCACUACUGGAAUAACAGGCAGAGGAAGAUAUGUUCUCCAUCUGCUAUGUUUCAUUGCUGCAAAGCUGGGAAGGCUUGUUCCUACUGGCAAUUUACUGGAAAAUAUCUAACACUAGACCAAAAUGCAUGCAACUAUUUUAUACUCCAGGCAGUCUCAUCUGCAGAGUAGAAUCAUGGAAUCACUAAGACUGGAAAAGACUAGAAAAGAAAUUCUUCCUAAUAUCCAGCAAAGUUAACGUAAAUCUGAAAAAGUGAAAAUACCUGAUUCAGAUGGAUACAUAAUACUGUUGCUAUCUAACAUUUCCCUUGUUGAUUUUCCUGCUGCCUGGUAAAGUUCAUAUGCUUACAAAAAGAGUUCAGUGAUUGACUCAUGAUACUGCUGCCACGGUUUAAUAAAGAACUGAAUUGAACUUUUUCACAAUUACAUUGUAGCAGGAAGCGGCACCAGAGUUGAUUGGUCGAGUGAUGAUCGAAAAUGGUAGUGUUGAAUUUCUCCACUUGGUGGCACUAAGAAAUAACGCAACUGCCCUUGUAACGAGGCUGUGAAACGUGGCCAGGUGGUUGGGGAUAACUGAGCACAGUGACCCUGGGAAAGGAAGACAUCAAGUGAGCCGAAAUCCCAUCACUGUUUUGCUUAUCAGAAGUGUUAUAAGUUUUCAGCAGGGAGCACACCAGUUGGGAUAUUAUCUCUGCUCCAGGACAUGCAGAGCAAAUCUCUUCCCGUGUUGUUGAGUCUGAUGACAGAUGUUUUGCACUUCUCUUACAUUUGCUACUUGCUUCAGAGUGAGGUGUACCUAGGAGCAAUUUUGCUGGAGUCUGGAAGGAGGGAGCCACAAAGCCCUCAUCUCCAAUGCUUCAUUUCAGGCAACAUUGGAGAGUUUCUCUUGGACAAGGAGAUUUGCAUGAAUCUCCCUGGGGAGCGCCUCAGUGUAAAUAUUAUUGCCUGCUUGGGAGAAGAGAUGCAGUAGAGCCAUGUAAGGAAUAAACUUGCUCUGAGGGGAUGGCUUUACUGACUUACAACCACUGCUAGCACAGAAAAUGAACAAACUGGACCUAGCAUUUAUCCAGGUUCUUUUGCUUCUUGGUUAAUAAUACCCAGUAAAGGUCAAGUACAUAUGAACGGAUUUCAUUUGUGGUUACAUUCAUGCUCUCUGGUGCAGCUCCUGCUGUGGACCUGCACUGAAAUACUGUUUUUUUUCUCUCCUUUUGCACAAGCUUUUUCUGGCUAGGGUUGUUUAUUCAGAACUGAACGCUGUUUUUCUGCCUGUAUUUUUUUUCCCUUAUCAGUUCUUUCCAUAGUAUGUCUAUGAGUCCCAUUAAAUCCCCUUUCAGAACAAACAUACAAAAAAUGAUAAUAAUUAGCCUCUGCCUUUUAAACAAGGAGAAGUUUUCAGAGCUAAAAAGGCUCUUCCGACAAAAAGGGAACAGACAUUUGAAAAACAGUGCUCUUGUAUAUUUUCCCUGUAUUUCCAGGACUAAGGCUAUGCCUGUGCUAGCAAGUAGUAUGGUUGAGUAGGAGUGAAUCUGCAGCAGCAAAGCAGCCAGUGCUGAGGACUCAGUGUGCACCUAUCUAUAUUUUUUAGCUAGUGAUCUCAGGCUUGUGUCUGCCUUGGGUAAAAGGGGCAGCGGAGGCUGGAUCACCACUGGAAGAAGAUGCUCCAGCAAUGUGAGCAGGAGAAUGGUGUAUGCAGAGCACUGGAACAUCCUCUACAGGAUAGGUCUUUGUGAUUGCAUGAGAACUGCUGAGUCACGGCCUGACCCUCUGAUUGAUCACCUGAGUCAAGCCCCUCCAAACUAGCUAUCAGCUAUUCUAACAAAGGCUGAAACAGGAACAGAAGAGAGCUCAAUGAAAGAUGUGUCUAUGGAAAAUAUUACCAACUGUGAACUGGUUAUAUGCCCCCACUAGAAACAAAAAGCAGUACUGAAUGACAAUUAUUUCAAAAAGAAAACCAAACUGUGGGCCAGAUGAUCCCCUUUAGAUACUGAAAAGCCAACUCGACAUUCUCCAGGCUGAACAGCCCAAGCUCUCUCAGCCCUUUCUCACAGAGGACAUGUUCCAUCCCUUGGAUCACUUUUUGUGGUGUUCCUCUGGACACAAUCCAACAGGUCUAUGUCUCUUCCAUGGACUUCACAUCUGGACACAGUAUUCCAGGAGCUGUCCCAGUGAAACAUCUAGUUGAACAUGUGAGUUCCAGCUAAUACAAGCUUUCCAGUUCAGUGUCACUGGGACUUGGGCCUUUGGUUUGGGACUAGACAGCAAAGCAAUGUGAUUGGAGCAACAGAGACAACUCCAUUGUGUUUCCAGUGCUCAAGCCUAUGGGGAGCUUUCAGGCAAGAGAUUUUCCUUUGCAGAGUGACUUAACUUUGGGCCCAAAUAGGCUGUCAGAAGACUGGAGUGCUAAAAAAGGCAGAACCUUCAGUAGCCCUCUCUGCCCCUCAGGGAUCUGUGAGACACGGGGCCACAGCUGCCACUCGUCUCCCUUCCAGCAAAAGGACUCGAAUUCACAGAGGAAAAAUUUAAGUUAGUUCUGUCCUGGUACAGAAACAGCCAAAGGCACCAUCGAAGAUGUUCAGAAUUACUCUUUGCAUCAUCUGAUUUCUUUAUACAUGGCUCCUAAGAAAACUUUACAUAUGAACUGAACUUCAAGUCAGAUUUCAGUGGUAAUAUCCACCACCCCUACAUAUGCAAGUUUGAGGCUUUACUAAAAAGGUCUUAAAUGUAGCUCUAAACUGGAAGAAAAUUUGCAUUCUUGCAACUACCAAAAUGAUGCCAGCUCAAUAAAGCUCAUUUGGAUCCUCCA